GGCUUCGUAGCUCAGCUGUUAGAGCGCUUGCCGCGUAGAGGCAUGGUGUAUCUGUCACUGGUUCGAAUCCAGCCGAAGCCC
rnacentral:tRNA from 1 species